UACGAGGGGUGCAAGCGUUGCUCGGAAUUAUUGGGCGUAAAGGGUAGGUAGGCGGUCUCAUUUGUCCGGGGUGAAAGCCUUGAGCUUAACUCAAGAAGUGCCCCGGAAACGGUGAGACUCGAGUACUGGAGAGGGUCGUGGAAUUCCCGGUGUAGCGGUGAAAUGCGUAGAGAUCGGGAGGAACACCAGAGGCGAAGGCGGCGACCUGGACAGUUACUGACACUCAACUACGAAAGCGUGGGGAGCAAACAGG
rnacentral:rRNA from 1 species